UUACCGGGCCAGCAGGCCGCGCAAUUCUCGUAGGUACAGGAGGCAGCCGAAGUUACGCCUUUUGGCCUAGUUGCGAUGGACGAGUGCAGUGGCCUAGAGCGGAUCAGCGGAGCUCUUCCGGCGUGCCGGCGGCGCCACGGGACAACGGACGACCGCGAUGCCGUCCGCCCAUCCACUCACCCCAAUUCCUGAAGACCGCGGCGGCUCUCGUCGGUAAAGCAGGCCACUGCUCCGCCGCCACAACAAUCCCCCAACUGAGGAUCUCCAGUUAGCAUCACAUCCGGAGCAAAAAAGUAUAUAUUGAUGGUCAUGGUGACAGUAUCAAGCUGGCGUGAAUAGCUGCCGGCAGUUCGUGUGAACCAGAGGUGGACGCCACAUAGUUCAGAGGAUGAUCGAUGCAUCGUAGCACAUGAAAAUAAUGGUGGGAAUCUUGUUUUCUUUUUUUAUUGAUAUGAUAAAAUAAUUUUUUCCCCUGAUUGUUCUAGGAAUAUAUAGCCAUGAAAGCUAAUAAGAUGACUGAAACCCACUUGCACCACGAUUAUGAAUACAUAAUCCGAGCAAGCUUAUUUGUAUUUUUUUAAAUAUCAAUAUCUGGAUAUACAUGAUCAUAACAAUGCAAAACUAUCUAGUCUAGAUUCAAAAGCACUGCAAUCAAACAUUUUAUGGUAGUUUGGGUA